UACAGAGACUGCAAGCGUUAUUCGGAUUCACUGGGCGUAAAGGGUGCGCAGGCGGCCAAGUGUGUCAGGUGUGAAAUCCCGAGGCUUAACCUCGGAACUGCGCCUGAAACUACUUGGCUAGAGUACUGGAGAGGGUAACGGAAUUCACGGUGUAGCAGUGAAAUGCGUAGAUAUCGUGAGGAACACCAGAGGCGAAGGCGGCUCACUGGACCAUUACUGACGCUGAGGCACGAAAGCUAGGGGGAGCAAACAGG
rnacentral:rRNA from 1 species